rnacentral:lncRNA from 1 species
CUUUAAUUCAUUUCAGAUAAUCGAUUAACUUUAACAACCAGUGGCAAAUAUUUUACGAAUAUUAAGGACAAAAGGCAAACAAAAACAAUAGACCGGAAUGAAUGGUGGUUACUUAUAGGACGGUCCCUGGAAAUGAGGGAAUGCUGAAUGGGGAGAAAUUUCGCUUUGUAAAAGGCCCCUCGUUUAGAUUGUGUGUAAAAGUCCCCUCGUUUAGAUUGUGCAAUGGUUCUUAAAAUUGCAGAGAACAUAGUACCGAUAUACACA